UGAACGCUGGCGGCGUGCUUAACACAUGCAAGUCGUACGAGAAAUCUUCAGCUUGCUGAAGAGAGUAAAGUGGCGCACGGGUGAGUAACGCGUGGGUAAUCUAUCCUUGAAUCGGGGAUAACGUUGCGAAAGCGACGCUAAUACCGGAUAACAUCGUAAGAACUUCGGUUCUAACGAUCAAAGAUGACCUCUACCUGUAAGUUGUUGUUUGAGGAGGAGCCCGCGUACCAUUAGCUUGUUGGUAGGGUAACGGCCUACCAAGGCCACGAUGGUUAGCUGGUCUGAGAGGAUGAUCAGCCACACUGGAACUGACACACGGUCCAGACUCCUACGGGAGGCAGCAGUGAGGAAUUUUGCGCAAUGGGGGAAACCCUGACGCAGCAACGCCGCGUGAGUGAUGAAGGCUUUAGGGUCGUAAAGCUCUGUCAAGUGGGAAGAACCUAUCCGGAAAUAAUACGUUCGGAUACUGACGGUACCACUGAAGGAAGCACCGGCUAACUCC
rnacentral:rRNA from 1 species